ensembl:lncRNA
AUAUUUAUAAACUUUCCUAAUAUUAAGCACAUUGCUUCUCUUUACAACAGGAGUAUAGCCUACCUGGCUGGCAUGAAAAUGAACCACGGGGAAAAGCAUCCUCCAUUUUGCUAUUUAAGUGCAUAGUUGACAUUCUUUCCCCCCCAUACCCCCAUUUCGAUACAGGUGCAUGAUAAUGGUCCAUUCUAAAUCAAAACUAAUUUGACACACAUAUAAUUUAGUAUAUGUAAAGACAAGAUUAAAUUAAGAAUAGUGUGAUGGGUGACAAUAUUAGCCUAUCACUUGUGGAUUAUGUAUUAUCACAUGCGAAUGACGCCCAGCUUGUGCAGUAAGGCGAGGAAUAACUCAUGCGUUUUUUUGCGACUUCUUCAAAUCGUAGGUCGCACACCGUAUGUAGCCCAGCCCAUAGGCCUAUAUGUUUUGAUAAGGUUUUUUAUCACAACUAAAGUGGCCAAAUAACUCCUUAAAACGAAGCACAGGGAGCGCAGGUAGUCUAGUGGUUAGAGUGUAGGGGCGGCAGGUAGCCUAGUGGUUAGAGCGUAGGGGCAGCAGGUAGCCUAGUGGUUAAAGUGUAGGGGGCGGCAGGUAGCCUGGUGGUUAGAGUGUAGGGGCGGCAGGUAGCCUAGUGGUUAGAGCGUAGGGGCAGCAGGUAGCCUAGUGGUUAAAGUGUAGGGGCGGCAGGUAGCCUAGUGGUUAGAGCGUAGGGGCGGCAGGUAGCCUGGUGGUUAGAGCGUAGGGGCGGCAGGUAGCCUGGUGGUUAGAGCGUAGAGGCGGCAGGUAGCCUAGUGGUUAGAGUGUAGGGGCGGCAGGUAGCCUAGUGGUUAAAGCGUUGGGCCAGUAACCCGAAAGGUUGCAAAAUCAAAUCCCCUGAGCUGACAAGGUAAAAAUCUAUCAUUCUGUCCCUGAACAGGGCAGUUAACCCACUGUUCCAAGGUCGUCGUUCAAAAUAAGAAUUUGUUCUUAACUGACUUGCCUAGUUAAAUAAAGGAUAAUGAUAAUAAAUAUUAAACCGCUUUAUAACCGGUGCCUAACUGGCAGACAUAAGCUGUGUGAGUUUCACGUUUGGGGAAGAUCAUUUUCACCAUAAAUAUGCACUUUUUAUAAUAAACUAUUAAAUGCACCUUUUAAAAUAAACUAUUAAAUGCACCUUUUAAAAUAAACUAUUAAAUGCACCUUUUAAAAUAAACUAUUAAAUGCACCUUUUUAAAAUAAACUAUUAAAUGUGUGCGCAUUGAUACGCUUCUAAUGUGAAGAAAAAGACCAAUAGAAAAAGCCUUAAUAGUUUAUCAACAUUUUAAGCUAAACGUUCUGAUCUGUUGCAUCAGCCUCACUGCUUUAAAAAAAAUAAAGAAAUUGGAUGCGAGUUGCUGUAUUCAAUUGGGAUCUAUCGCAUCCCACAACUGUCCUACAGUAUAUUUAUUUAUUUAUUGCACUGAAGAA